GAGCAAAGAGGUUUAAGUGACAGGAAGGGGGUGGGGACAACGGCAGAGGACAGGGCGGGGCUACGUGCUUGAGUGACAGCUGACUGAGCAAAGAGAGGUUUAAGUGACAGGAAGGGGGUGGGGACAACGGCAGAGGACAGGGCGGGGCUACGUGCUUGAGUGACAGCUGACUGAGCAAAGAGAGGUUUAAGUGACAGGAAGGGGGUGGGGACAACGGCAGAGGACAGGGCGGGGCUACGUGUUUGAGUGACAGCUGACUGAGCAAAGAG